rnacentral:rRNA from 1 species
AGCGAACGCUGGCGGCAGGCCUAAUACAUGCAAGUCGAGCGCACCUUCGGGUGAGCGGCGGACGGGUGAGUAACGCGUGGGAAUGUGCCCUUUGGUACGGAACAACUGAGGGAAACUUCAGCUAAUACCGUAUGUGCCCUUCGGGGGAAGGAUUUAUCGCCAUUGGAGCAGCCCGCGUUGGAUUAGCUAGUUGGUAGGGUAAAGGCCUACCAAGGCUACGAUCCAUAGCUGGUCUGAGAGGAUGAUCAGCCACACUGGGACUGAGACACGGCCCAGACUCCUACGGGAGGGCAGCAGUAGGGGAAUCUUGCGCAAUGGGCGAAAGCCUGACGCAGCCAUGCCGCGUGAAUGAUGAAGGUCUUAGGAUUGUAAAAUUCUUUCACCGGGGAGGAUAAUGACGGUACCCGGAGAAGAAGCCCCGGCUAACUUCGUGCCAGCCGCCGCCGUAA